GUGCCAGCAGCCGCGGUAAUACGGGGGGGGCGAGCGUUGUUCGGAAUUACUGGGCGUAAAGGGUGCGUAGGCGGCUUUCUAAGUCGGAUGUGAAAACUCUGGGCUCAACCCAGAGCCUGCAUCCGAAACUGGAGAGCUAGGGUUCUGGAGGGGAAAGCGGAAUUCCUGGUGUAGCGGUGAAAUGCGUAGAUAUCAGGAGGAACACCGGUGGCGAAGGCGGCUUUCUGGACAGAUACCGACGCUGAGGCACGAAAGCUAGGGGAGCAAACAGGAUUAGAUACCCUGGUAGUCC
rnacentral:rRNA from 1 species